UACAGAGGUCCCAAGCGUUGUUCGGAUUCACUGGGCGUAAAGGGCGCGUAGGUGGUGAGGUAAGUCGGAUGUGAAAUCUCCAAGCUCAACUUGGAAACUGCAUUGGAAACUACCUUGCUAGAGGAUUUGAGGGGGGAUUGGAAUACUUGGUGUAGCAGUGAAAUGCGUAGAUAUCAAGUGGAACACCAGUGGCGAAGGCGAAUCCCUGGAAAAUACCUGACACUGAGGCACGAAAGCUAGGGGAGCAAACAGG
rnacentral:rRNA from 1 species